GAAAAAAGCCGGGAUUUUAUAAAUGGAAUCAUGGAAAAUUACCAAAGUAUUUGACUGCGCUAGUGGAAAAACGAAUUAUAGCGACUCGGAAGCACAAAGCUGAGGAACAGUCAAAAGCAUUAGCACUCAAAGAAAUAAGUGCAUCACCUGUUCAAGAUGUGACACCUAUUCGAGCAUUAGCACUCAAAGAAAUAACUGCAUCACCUGUUCAAGAUGUGACACCUAUUCGAGAGUCAAAAUGGACGACCGUUCCACUUCCACAAGGCAAGUGCGGUCUUGUCGCAUCAAAACACUUUU